CCUACCCUGGGGUCAACGAUGCCCUGCUCAGCCAUGUCUACACAGAACCAGGUGUGAAGUCUCCCUCUCCUUCUCCGACCCUGGAGGCCUCGGUCCAGAACGUGGAGCUGAAAUUCUGCAGCAGAGCCACGGUGAACUGCGCCGGGGGAACCGUGGGAGCUGUUAAAGUGUGUGCCAGGACCCCAGGUUCACCAGAGGGAAUAAAAGAGAAGCUGGUUCCUCUGCUGCAGGGUCCAUCUGACACCAAGGAGCUCCAACAGAGUCGCUGGCUCAAU